rnacentral:rRNA from 1 species
GACGAACGCUGGCGGCGUGCUUAACACAUGCAAGUCGAACGGAAAGGCCCUGCUUUUGUGGGGUGCUCGAGUGGCGAACGGGUGAGUAACACGUGAGUAACCUGCCCUUGACUUUGGGAUAACUUCAGGAAACUGGAGCUAAUACCGGAUAGGAGCUCCUGCUGCAUGGUGGGGGUUGGAAAGUUUCGGCGGUUGGGGAUGGACUCGCGGCUUAUCAGCUUGUUGGUGGGGUAGUGGCUUACCAAGGCUUUGACGGGUAGCCGGCCUGAGAGGGUGAGCGGGGACAUUGGGACUGAGGUACGGCGCAGAGGCGUACGGGAGGCAGCAGGGGGGAAUGUUGCAGAGUGGGCGGGGGCGUGGGGCAGCAACGCCGGGUGCGGGAUGACGGGCUUCGGGUUGGAGACCGCUUUCGGCUGUGACGAAGCGUGAGUGACGGUAAUGGGUAAAGAAGCACCGGCUAACUACGUG